AUGGGCGAGAUGGAGUCGACCUCGCCGCCGCCGGCGGGAGCGGGCGGCGCGGUGCUGCAGGUGGUGUUCGUGGACGGCGAGCGGAGCGUGGACCUGGGCACGGUCACCGUGCACCCGUCGCUGGGCGUGCGGAGGCUGCAGGCGGUGGUGGCGGACCGCGUGGGCGUCGCGCCGCAGCAGAUCUCGGCGUCGCUCGCCCGGCCGCGGCGCCAGCGCCGCGUGCCGCUCGACGAGGGCGCCGACCUCGCCGCCGCCGUGGCCCGCGAGGGCGCCGGCUGCUACGUGCUCGCCGGGCUCCGCCGCUCGCGCCGCGACCGCCGCGGGGGCCGCUCCAGGCGCGACCGGAAGGGCGCGGGGGCGGGGCCUCAGCAGCCGCUGCUGAUGGCGCCGACGACGGGCUCGGAGCGGACCAUCCUGAAGCGCCUCCCGUCGACGGAUCUGGCGUCCCUGGCGGGCGCCGCGUCCCCCGUGGCGGCGUUCGGCGGGUGGGACUACGAGGCGCAGCUGCGGGAGCUGCAGCGGCAGCACGAGUGGUACAUGAUGAGCACCGCCGCGCCGGAUCCGUACCUCCUCCCGCCGCUCCUCGACGACCCGCCGGCGGCGCUCUGGCCGGCGCGCCCCUCGACGCCCUGCCCCGACUGCGAGGCGGCCGCGGCGCUGGGCCUGCGCGAGCCGGCGUUCCACUGGUGCGUGCGCGACGCGGUCACCGUGGGGUUCCGCUCCCCGGUGGGCCCCAUCGAGCGCCCGUCCGCCGCCAGGAGAUCCCCGUCCCAGACGCCGUCGCCGACCCCGUCGCCGCCGCCGUCGUUUGCGCCCGCCACCGGCCGCCAUCUGCAGCAGUCCUUCCUCCACCCCGGCCUGACGCCGCUCUGCUACUAG
rnacentral:rRNA from 1 species